ACCAUCUCCACCCCCCACCACCACCCACCCACUCGCAUCCUCCCUCCUCUGCUCACCCAUCACCACCACCAUCACCACCACCACCGCCACACACUGAAUGGAUUACAGCAGAAAGACGUCUCCUGCAACAUUAUUACCACCACCAUCAUCACCAUCAUCAUCUUCAUCCUUUUCCUGCUGUGGCAGUGAGUCGCCGCGCCGUCCGUCUUUGUCUUCCCCAAGCGUCUCGGCGCUGGACGACUAAGGUGGUGGCCAUUGACAACAACAACAGCCACAACAACAACAUCAACAACAACAACAACCACCCCAGCAGGGAGUGGUGAGCGAGCACCGCUGCGGGAUGGAUGCUGACAGCGAUGAGAGGAGAUGCAGCAGCUACCGGUCACUCACCAGGUCACGCCGCGAGCGAGCAGCCGGGAGGCCGGCCGCCCGGGGUCGCCUCGACCGCGACCCCGGGGGGGCGAAGGAGG